CAGCCAAGAAAAGCAGUUGGGAAAAUAAAGUUGUCACCAUAGGAGAGUGAUAGCUAGGAGCAAGGUGGCCUGUGCCUUGGGGAGGUGGCAGAUGGUGAAAACCAGGUGGCCACUGAAUUAAGGAAUUGGUACUCCAGGUACUUCUGUGACAGAUUCGCCCCAUUCCUAUGCAUCUGUCUCUUACCAAAGUGGGGUUUCCUAUGCUGCCCUUUGAAGAGCUCGGCAAUGCAGGCCAUGGAUGGAGGCUUCAUCAGAGUCUCUCAGGACCGGGCAGGCAUUUGGGGGUCCAGAAAGCUGGUAAUCUGAGGACCUGCUGUUCAGAUGCAAGCAGGAGAGAGCUCUCUGGGCCUCGCUUUCCUGGGUCUCCGGGACUUCGUGAGCUCCCUGGAGACUGGGACAAUGUCUUCACCUUUGUGCACAAGAGGAGGCUUCAACCAGCAAAGACUCUCACAGGAGCUCCAGCCCACACAAAAUCUCCUCAUUUGACUUGCUGAAGUUUGUCUAUUCCAGGGAGUUUUGCUGUCUCACCUUUCAUAGAUCAGUGCUUGCCUGGGAUUAAUUUUCUAAGUAUGGUGUGAGGUAGGGGUCAAGAUUCACCUUGGUCCCAAGUGUUGAAAUCCUGACUCCGCCCAAGAUAGUUCUAGGGGGUGAGGCCUUGGGAGAUGAUUGGAUUAUGAGGAAGCAGCCCCACAAAGAGCCAGGUGACUGAGCUGCCUCUUCCACCACAUGAGGACACCUGAAAGCUCCAUCAAUAAAGUAAGAUGUGGAUUCUCAUCAGACAUGGAAUCUGCUUCGCUCUGAUCUUGGACUUCCCAGCCUCCAAAUCUGUGAGAAAUACCCGCUCCUUGAAAAUUUAUGUUGUUAAUUAUAUUUUCAUUGCAGUAGCCCAAAUGGACUAUAACAAAAAUAUACAUACUUUUCUUCUCCAAAUGUUGACCUGACUGGACCAGUCAACUAGACAAUAAAGAACACCACUAAGAAUUGUUAAGCUGAAGGAUCAAACUCGGGACCUUGUGCUUGCAAGACAGGCGGUGGAACCACUGAGCUAAAUCCCUGGCCCCUAACUCCCUUUUUUUUAUAAUCCAUCUUCUAUUUUGCUCUUUAUUUAUAC
ensembl:lncRNA